rnacentral:tRNA from 1 species
GGUCUUUUCGUAUAAAGGAAAUUACGUCACCCCUUCAAGUUGAAAAUGCCAGUUCGAUUCUGGUAAAGGCUA